rnacentral:rRNA from 1 species
CCUACGGGCGGCUGCAGUGGGGAAUAUUGGACAAUGGGCGAAAGCCUGAUCCAGCCAUGCCGCGUGUGUGAAGAAGGCCUUCGGGUUGUAAAGCACUUUCAGUGGGGAAGAAAGCCUUGGGGCUAAUACCCUCGAGGAAGGACAUCACCCACAGAAGAAGCACCGGCUAACUCCGUGUCAGCAGCCGCGGUAAUACGGAGGGUGCGAGCGUUAAUCGGAAUUACUGGGCGUAAAGCGCGCGUAGGCGGUCUGAUAAGCCGGUUGUGAAAGCCCCGGGCUCAACCUGGGAACGGCAUCCGGAACUGUCAGGCUAGAGUGCAGGAGAGGAAGGUAGAAUUCCCGGUGUAGCGGUGAAAUGCGUAGAGAUCGGGAGGAAUACCAGUGGCGAAGGCGGCCUUCUGGACUGACACUGACGCUGAGGUGCGAAAGCGUGGGUAGCAAACAGGAUUAGAUACCCUUGUAGUC